ACGUACCCUGUGCUCUGGGAUAGCGUCUGAAGCUUCGGCUUCUUCCGAAAGUGGCGGUAAUACCAGAUAAUGUCUUUCGGGACCAAAGAUUUAUCGGCAUUGGAGCGGCCUAUCUCCUAUCAGCUUGUUGGUGAGUGUAACGGCUCACCAAGGCAACGACGGGUAGCGGGACUGAGAGGUUGGCCCGCCACAUCGGGACUGAGACACUGCCCGGACCUCCACGGAGGGCUGCAGUAACGGAUAUUGGGCAAUAGGCGAAAGCCUGACCCAGCAAUGCCGCGUGCAGGAUGAAGCCCCUAGGGGUGUAAACUGCUGUCAGGGGUCAGAAAGCUGGUUUCGGCCAGUUGAUCAACCCCAGAGGAAGUCACGGCUAACUUCGUGCCAGCAGCCGCGGUAAUACGAAGGUGGCAAGCGUUAUUCGGAAUCAUUGGGCUUAAAGGGCACGCAGGCGGAACAGUGUGUGUUGUGUGAAAUCCCCCGGCUUAACCGGGGAAUUGCACAGCAAACUGCUGUUCUUGAGGCAGGUAGGGGUGCAUGGAACUCUUGGUGGAGCGGUGGAAUGCGUAGAUAUCAAGAGGAACGCCAGAGGUGAAGACGGUGCACUGGGCCUGUCCUGACGCUGAGGUGCGAAAGCGUGGGGAGCGAACGGGAUUAGAUACCCCGGUAGUCCACGCCGUAAACGAUGUCUACUAGGUCGUGGGUGUUCUGACACAUUCACGGCCGGAGCAAAAGUGUUUAGUAGACCGCCUGGGGAGUACGGCCGCAAGGUUAAAACUCAAAUGAAUUGACGGGGGCUCACACAAGCGGUGGAGCAUGUGGAUUAAUUCGAAGCAACGCGCAGAACCUUACCUGGGUUUGACAUGCUUGUAUGCCUUCUCUGAAAGGAGUUAGGCUGCCUUCGGGUGAAACUUGCACAGGUGCUGCAUGGCUGUCGUCAGCUCGUGUCGUGAGAUGUCGGGUUAAGUCCUUUAACGAGCGAAACCCUUGCCGUUAGUUGCCAGCGAGUAAUGUCGGGGACUCUAACGGGACUGCCGGUGUUAAACCGGAGGAAGGUGGGGAUGACGUCAAGUCCUCAUGGCCUUUAUGCCCAGGGCUUCACACGUGCUACAAUGGCAAUUACAGAGCGACGCGAUACCGCGAGGUGGAGCAAAUCGCAAAAAAAUUGCCUCAGUUCGGAUUGCAGGCUGGCAAUUCGCCUGCAUGAAGUCGGAAUCGCUAGUAAUCGCGUAUCAGCAAUGACGCGGUGAAUGUGUUCCUGAGCACUUGUACACACCGCCCGUCAAGUGAUGGAAGCCGGGAGUACCCGAAGUCGGGUUGCUAACC
rnacentral:rRNA from 1 species